CCGUGCCCCCGCCCUGGCGCCCCCUGGCCUCCACAAAAGCGUUCGCGCCCCUGCGCCCCUCACUGCGCAUCCGCAUCACUGCGUGUCCUCCUCCUCUCCCCCUCACUGCGGCGCAUCCACAUCUGCCAAUUUCUCCACCUCCUCCUCCUCGCCCCUGUGCCUCGACAUCUCGCAUCCGCUCCAUCUAUGGAAGGCCACCACGCGCCAUGGAUCGCCGCUCUCUACCGCCACCUCAAUUGAAGGUUCACCGCUCUCUACGCGGAUCCGCCACCUCCUCCUCGGCCGCCGUCAAUAGAAGGUCCCAGAUCUCCUCUCCCAUUACUUCUCUCCCCAUUACCGCGCUCGAGGUCUGCCAUUUUUGGAGGUCCGCCACUUCCGCCUCUGCUCGCCGUCAAUGGAAGGUCCUAGAUCUCCUCUCCCUAUUACCGCGCUCGAGUCAGUGGGAGGUCCGCCAUUUUUGGAAGGUCCGCCACCUCCUCCUCGACCCGCGGCAAAAAUGGCGUGGGAGAUCCGCCACCUCCUCCUCGGCCCGCGGCAAAAAUGGUGUGGGAGAUCCGCCACCUCACCUCCUCCCAUUCUCACGCCCGCGCCUGAUAUGGAAGGUCCGCCGAAGGGACUCGGACGUCGAGGCCAUGGCUGAGCCGCACCCCUUCUCCCCCUGCCUCGCGCGCGGCGGCCGAGAUGGUGUUGGCUGGGUUGUUCGGGAUGGUGGUCCUACCUGCCCUCCCUGCUAUCCUCGCCCCAAAUCGACGAGAAUCAUGCAGCCCAAAUCUGAGGUGGAGGCGCCUGCACUGUCGAUGGAGGUGUCGAGUCUGCGGUGGUGUCUGUAGAUGGGAAGGCAUGGUGUGCAGCAGCAGUGGCCAGGUGGUGUCGCUGAGCCUGUCCUCCUACGGGCUCACUAGCACGCUCUCCACGGCCAUCGGGGACCUCACGUUCCUACGUAUGCUGAACCUGAGCUCCAAUUGGUUCCACGGGGAGGUCCCAGCGACCAUCGUUCGCCUUGCGCAUCUGCAGGCGCUAGACCUGAGCUACAACGCCUUCACUGAAUUCCAGAGAUGCAAUUCCCGAGGCCAUGGAGCAGCAGACAAUAUCAAUUGCCAAAGCAGCCAUUACAAUAGUACUCAUUUUAGGGACUUCAUUUCUUGCAGCUGCCAAUCCAAUUACAGGAUGCUAUGACGCUCUUAAGUGAUCAUGAACUUAUACAUUGAAAUAAUGGUGGGCCUCGAGAGGCCAGGAGGUGGAGAGGAGUUCAACAAGUACUACAUCUUGUCUGCUCUCCUAUCCGUGGAUUGGGUGCCUGAAAUAUCCUAUAGAUGUCUUUAGUAGAGGAUCCAAAUAAUGGCCUGCAAGGUUUAUUGAAUCGGAUCGCACAAAACUCCAUCUGCUUCAGAAUUGAGCUAAGCGCAUCCUAACAUCUUGACUCCUAUAUCGAUCAAUUAUUUUUGUUACACAUUUGAUUCUUUAGUUUCGUAGAGGGAGGAACAUCGUGGGAUGCAGGCCCCACGGAACACCAGAUAUUUUGAGGUAGACCGCGGCGAGGUGCCCAAGGGCAGCGCCUAGAUCUUCUUCUGGAUGGUCAAGUUCUGUAACGACAAUGUGGCAGAGGAGAUGCCCUGAUCUUCGUACGCUGAAGGAUGUAUGCAUGGAAUAGAAGUCAGAUAAAUCUUUUGUGCAACAGGCUGAAGUCAUUCUUGUUGAUGGGAAAUUAACAGAGGCUAAGGCUAACCAGCUUGCUAAGGUUUAAAUGCAGGUUGGAGAACUCCCUUGUUCAGGCUUUUGUCUUUCUUCUGCAGAAGGAGAGAUGACGUGCUGCAUGACAUGAUGGCAUGUGAGGCAGCAACCUCUUCUCCGCAACCCUUGUCAUGGCCUGGAGUUGGUGUUCUAGGAAGGAGCACAAUUUUAUUAGGGUAGCCACCAGAGUUGAGGUCCCUUUUCAAUGGACGAACUUGGUGCUGUGGACGACAUCUGCUAUUGUAGCUAGGCGCAUACAUGUUUUCCUAUAAAUGCUAGCUCUGCAAUCACCAAAGGAAAACACAAGAGUACUCUUGGAGGAAAGUUUAGCAUUCAGUUUAACAAACCUUACCAACUCAUGCCUUGUUUGAAUGCAAUAAUGCAUGUUAUGUUGCCCUGUUGUUGCUUGGACACAUGCUUGGCAUGGCUAUUUUCUGGUUAUGUCACAACUCACAUCUCCCAUGUAAAUUUAUGGCUAUGAUAUGCAUCAAACAAGCUUAUAUUUUGCUCUUAAGUUGGUUCAAACAG
rnacentral:misc_RNA from 1 species